rnacentral:rRNA from 1 species
AGUGAACGCUGGCGGUAGGCCUAACACAUGCAAGUCGAACGGCAGCACAGUAAGAGCUUGCUCUUACGGGUGGCGAGUGGCGGACGGGUGAGGAAUACAUCGGAAUCUACUUUUUCGUGGGGGAUAACGUAGGGAAACUUACGCUAAUACCGCAUACGACCUACGGGUGAAAGCAGGGGAUCUUCGGACCUUACGCGAUUGAAUGAGCCGAUGUCGGAUUAGCUAGUUGGCGGGGUAAAGGCCCACCAAGGCGACGAUCCGUAGCUGGUCUGAGAGGAUGAUCAGCCACACUGGAACUGAGACACGGUCCAGACUCCUACGGGAGGCAGCAGUGGGGAAUAUUGGACAAUGGGCGCAAGCCUGAUCCAGCCAUACCGCGUGGGUGAAGAAGGCCUUCGGGUUGUAAGGCCCUUUUGUUGGGAAAGAAAAGCAGCAGGUUAAUACCCCGCUGUUCUGACGGUACCCAAAGAAUAAGCACCGGCUAACUUCGUG